rnacentral:rRNA from 1 species
UUUGGUUAAGUUAGAAAGGGCGCACGGUGGAUGCCUUGACACUAGGAGUCGAUGAAGGACGGGACUAACGCCGAUAUGCUUCGGGGAGCUGUAAGUAAGCUUUGAUCCGAAGAUUUCCGAAUGGGGAAACCCACCAUACGUAAUGGUAUGGUAUCCUUAUCUGAAUACAUAGGGUAAGGAAGACAGACCCAGGGAACUGAAACAUCUAAGUACCUGGAGGAAGAGAAAGCAAAUGCGAUUUCCUGAGUAGCGGCGAGCGAAACGGAACAUAGCCCAAACCAAGAGGCUUGCCUCUUGGGGUUGUAGGACAUUCUAUACGGAGUUACAAAGGAACGAGGUAGACGAAGCGACCUGGAAAGGUCCGUCGUAGAGGGUAACAACCCCGUAGUCGAAACUUCGUUCUCUCUUGAAUGUAUCCUGAGUACGGCGGAACACGUGAAAUUCCGUCGGAAUCUGGGAGGACCAUCUCCCAAGGCUAAAUACUCCCUAGUGAUCGAUAGUGAACCAGUACCGUGAGGGAAAGGUGAAAAGCACCCCGGAAGGGGAGUGAAAGAGAUCCUGAAACCGUGUGCCUACAAAUAGUCAGAGCCCGUUAACGGGUGAUGGCGUGCCUUUUGUAGAAUGAACCGGCGAGUUACGAUCCCGUGCGAGGUUAAGCUGAAGAGGCGGAGCCGCAGCGAAAGCGAGUCUGAAUAGGGCGUUUAGUACGUGGUCGUAGACCCGAAACCAGGUGAUCUACCCAUGUCCAGGGUGAAGUUCAGGUAACACUGAAUGGAGGCCCGAACCCACGCACGUUGAAAAGUGCGGGGAUGAGGUGUGGGUAGCGGAGAAAUUCCAAUCGAACCUGGAGAUAGCUGGUUCUCCCCGAAAUAGCUUUAGGGCUAGCCUUAAGUGUAAGAGUCUUGGAGGUAGAGCACUGAUUGGACUAGGGGUCCUCAUCGGAUUACCGAAUUCAGUCAAACUCCGAAUGCCAAUGACUUAUCCUUAGGAGUCAGACUGCGAGUGAUAAGAUCCGUAGUCAAAAGGGAAACAGCCCAGACCGCCAGCUAAGGUCCCAAAGUGUGUAUUAAGUGGAAAAGGAUGUGGAGUUGCUUAGACAACUAGGAUGUUGGCUUAGAAGCAGCCACCAUUUAAAGAGUGCGUAAUAGCUCACUAGUCGAGUGACUCUGCGCCGAAAAUGUACCGGGGCUAAAUACACCACCGAAGCUGCGGAUUGAUACCAAUGGUAUCAGUGGUAGGGGAGCGUUCUAAGGACAGUGAAGUCAGACCGGAAGGACUGGUGGAGUGCUUAGAAGUGAGAAUGCCGGUAUGAGUAGCGAAAGACGGGUGAGAAUCCCGUCCACCGAAUGCCUAAGGUUUCCUGAGGAAGGCUCGUCCGCUCAGGGUUAGUCAGGACCUAAGCCGAGGCCGACAGGCGUAGGCGAUGGACAACAGGUUGAUAUUCCUGUACCACCUCUUUAUCGUUUGAGCAAUGGAGGGACGCAGAAGGAUAGAAGAAGCGUGCGAUUGGUUGUGCACGUCCAAGCAGUUAGGCUGAUAAGUAGGCAAAUCCGCUUAUCGUAAAGGCUGAGCUGUGAUGGGGAAGCUCCUUAUGGAGCGAAGUCUUUGAUUCCCCGCUGCCAAGAAAAGCUUCUAGCGAGAUAAAAGGUGCCUGUACCGCAAACCGACACAGGUAGGCGAGGAGAGAAUCCUAAGGUGUGCGAGAGAACUCUGGUUAAGGAACUCGGCAAAAUGACCCCGUAACUUCGGGAGAAGGGGUGCUUUCUUAACGGAAAGCCGCAGUGAAUAGGCCCAAGCGACUGUUUAGCAAAAACACAGCUCUCUGCGAAGCCGUAAGGCGAAGUAUAGGGGGUGACACCUGCCCGGUGCUGGAAGGUUAAGGAGAGGGGUUAGCGUAAGCGAAGCUCUGAACUGAAGCCCCAGUAAACGGCGGCCGUAACUAUAACGGUCCUAAGGUAGCGAAAUUCCUUGUCGGGUAAGUUCCGACCCGCACGAAAGGUGUAACGAUUUGGGCACUGUCUCAACCAGAGACUCGGUGAAAUUAUAGUACCUGUGAAGAUGCAGGUUACCCGCGACAGGACGGAAAGACCCCGUGGAGCUUUACUGUAGCCUGAUAUUGAAUUUUGGUACAGUUUGUACAGGAUAGGCGGGAGCCAUUGAAACCGGAGCGCUAGCUUCGGUGGAGGCGCUGGUGGGAUACCGCCCUGACUGUAUUGAAAUUCUAACCUACGGGUCUUAUCGACCCGGGAGACAGUGUCAGGUGGGCAGUUUGACUGGGGCGGUCGCCUCCUAAAGUGUAACGGAGGCGCCCAAAGGUUCCCUCAGAAUGGUUGGAAAUCAUUCGUAGAGUGCAAAGGCAUAAGGGAGCUUGACUGCGAGACCUACAAGUCGAGCAGGGACGAAAGUCGGGCUUAGUGAUCCGGUGGUU